AGAAGAUGCUCGAGAAUCAGGUGGAAUUUGGAUCCCCUGAUAAGAGGUCCGGUGGGUUCUUGAACUCCGCUUUGAUAGCUUUGUUCUAUGUGGCUGUGCUUGCCGGGCUUCUUCACCGGUUCCCUGUUAGCUUUUCUCAGCAUACACCUGGUCAAAUUAGGAACCGCAAGUCUGGAGGUUCUGGAGGUUCAAAAGUGUCUGAGCAAGGGGACACAAUCACUUUUGCUGAUGUUGCUGGUGUUGAUGAGGCUAAAGAAGAGUUGGAAGAGAUUGUGGAAUUCCUCAGGAAUCCAGACAGGUAUAUAAGACUUGGUGCUCGUCCUCCUCGAGGUAUUCUCUUGGUGGGUCUUCCUGGGACUGGU
rnacentral:misc_RNA from 1 species